ensembl:lncRNA
CUUGGAUCUCAUUUAUGUGAAACAUCAAGAAUAAGCAGGGCUGGGGAUUUAGCUCAGUGGUUCUGGCGCCUGCCUUGAAAGUGCAAGGUCCCGAGUUCAAUCCCUGGUACUUAAAAAAAAUUAAAAAAAAAAAGAAUAAGCAAAUAAUGUACCAACAGAAGGCAAGUUAAUGGUUGCCAGAGUAUAGCAGGGAGGGAGAAAUGAAGAAUGAUUGCUUAACAGGUAUGUGAUUUUCUUUUGAUGAAAAUAUUCUGCAACUAGACAAUGGCAUUGAAUGCACAAUGCCGUGAAUGUCCUAUGUGUCACUAAGGCUGAAGAAAAUCUAGGGUUCAUCCUAGAAAAGGAACCACUUCUGAACCAAGCCACCUUGGACAGGGAUACAUUCAAGGUCAGCAUGAUGAAUAGGAAUCAGCACAGCAUAGUUGGAAGAUCAUGAGCCUCGGAAUCAGCAAUGGAUUCAAAUUUCACAUCUCACAACAAACUCUAGUUUCUCAUCUUUACUGGGACAAAAAUAAAAAUAUUGAAUUCAGAGUCCUUUUUGAGGCAUACAUGCAACGAAGGGAAAGGACUCCAUAUAGUAUGGUGCUAAGGGUACACAGGGUGGGAUACGUGUGACAAGUUACGAGGAAUGUGGCAUUUAGUUGGAACAGGAGAAGGAGGGUGCCUUCCUCCUGCUCACUGAGUAAAGCAGAAAAGUUUCAGGACUCUGCUUUCCCCUCCUCUCUUCCAAAGUUGCUGCCCAGCCCCUCCUUGGCACAGUUGCUCUGUAGGCUUUGCCCUGAUAUUGCCCCAGCUCCCUGCUCCAAGGUAGAGGGUAGGAGGGGCCUGGCUUAUGUAAAUGAGGCCCAGACUUGGGAGACAUGCUGAAACAUAAAGUUUUUUUGGGGUACAACUAAUAUCCUGAAUCUGGUCCUUUCCCACCAAAGGGCUGGCUUUCCUUAAACGGCUUUGAUCUCUCCUUUCUAUAUUCGCCUCUACACACAUCCAUUCCUAACCCUGAGCUUCUAGAAAGUCUGUGGAUGGGUCCAGCCCCUCCAGGGGCAGCCUUAGUUCGUCCACAACAUUUUGGGAUGUGGUUGUCUCAAAAAUGCCCACUGGAGCAGCAGUGGGGUGAGGCAACACACUAUUCAUUGCUUUCACUUACUAACCUGAACACAAGAAAGUCAGUUUAGGGUUAGAUCACUGGUUCUCCCUCUCCUUCCUUCUGCAUCAGCCACUUGCACAACUAUCCCCAGAAUCAUAAUAUCAGCUGGCAUACAUUAAGUGAACAAUGGGUUUGUAGUCAACCACAAAUCAAACCCAGGGGAUUUAACUUUAUAUUCUAGGCUUUCAGCAUUGCACUAAACCAGAAUAGAGUGCACAAAAAGAUUUUUUUUUUUUGUUAGUACCAGGGAUCGAACUCAGGACCUUGGACUUGCGAGACAGGCGUGGUGCCACUGAGCUAAAUCCCUGGCUUCUGGUUUUUUGCUGUUGUUGUUGUUCUGGGGAUCGAACUUGGGACCUUCCACCAUCACUGAGCUAAAUCCCCAGCCCCGCACAAAAAGAUUUUUAAUGAAAUGUAAAGGUCUGAAUUUUAUGUCAUGAUGCCAAUAUCAAUAGUUACUGGGAUUCAAUCAGUAUCUUUUGAAUGAAACUUGUUAUUUUUACAUUCUAUAAUCAGAGUUUGUAUUGGCACAACCAUCUUUGGAAAAUGUAAUUUGCCCCAAACUAUUGGAAGAUGUUAUAAAAAUUAGACUUUUGUAUAAAAUAUUAGAAUUUAUUCUACCAAUGAAAAGAAAGUAAAAUGUACUCACAAAAUUUCCUUCUUAUUUUGGGUUCCACUUGCAUCUUCAAAGCACCACCUAUCUUAAGGAUUGGUGUGGCCUCCAAGUUACAUUGUUUAUAUGUAGAGAAAUCAAAAAGAUUAUGUGAAUAACUUAGGCUUUCAAAGUUGCAUUUUCUCAUAGAUGAAGGAUGUAUUCUAAACUUGAACCUGAUAUUGAAAAACCCAGAGAAGGAGAAAACUGAUUUUGAUUUAAGAUUCAGAGAGAGAGGCAAAAAUCCCUUUGAGUAUCCCUAUGUUUGAGUGGGGUAGCACAAUGAAUAAGUGCAACUGUGUAGUUGUUCCUACACUGUCCUAGAGCCUUUCAGGCCUGACCUUCCUGAAUAUGACUGUCACCAUUUCCCAGCUAUUACUGCAUGGAAGCCUAACAAGAGCACUAUUGGUGAUACCCAUGUGCAACCUACAAACUCUUCUUUUGGCACAGGCUAUGCUGUGACAUGGAACAGAGGUAGGGUGGGCACUGCCAAAUUCCUUCUCCUCACUAAGAUGAGUACAACUGAACACAUAUCCUUGCCCUGUUUACUGGAGAAACAGGGUGGUCACAAAUACUGAAAAAUGAAACUUACACUAUCAGAAAAAAAAUCAGUUCUAAACCACAAAAAUAAUGAAAGUAAAUUUGAAAGCAUGAUAUAGCAUAGUUGAAAGGAGAAUAUUAUGAUUAUUGAGCAUUUUCCACAGUGUACAUUACUUAAUUUCAUAAUAAAUUCUGUAAACUGGGUGUUAGUAUUAUCUUUAUUUUUUGGAUGGGAAAACUGAGGCUUUGAAAAUUGAAAUAAUUUGUCCACAGCACAUAUCUGUCAGUGGUGAAGUUGGAAUUAAAAUCAAGUCUAACUCUAAAAUCACAAUUUUACCUGCUAAGCAAUACUUCUAGGCCCUCUAAGCCUGCUGUUUGUUACUCUUCUGAAGUCUGGUUGAGUUAUUAUCACCCAACUAGUCACACAAACUCAGAAAUCAUUGUUGACAAGGUCUUCUUCAUCUCUCUCACAUCCACUCUUAAUUUCACAUUCAGGAAGGCUCUGCCACAUGCCAGGUAGUACAGAUAUGAUGGCAAAAAAGAUGGUAAAGAUUCCUGCCCAAGGUAAGCAAGUCAGAGUCUUCUCUGGUGUUCUAAAAUUUGGAAUCAGACAAAACACAUAUCACUGUCCUGGUCUGAAGCAGGGAGAUGCUAGGCCAGUAAGCCUGGUGCAGCUGUUUCUUGUUGUAUGGAGAAAUUCAGAGAGAAGUAAGGGGACACUCAGAAAGAAUCACAAUGACAGGUGGAGAGAGGAGCCCGGCAGUAGGGUCCAUGAUUCUGUUUUCAGCUGUUCCUAGGCCAGUUGCACCCUCCUCUCACCACAGCUAUGUGAGCUUUUGAUAAUUUCCACUUCCUGUUUAAAAUGGUGAGAGUUGUAUUUCAGUCACCUGCAACCCAACCUCUGUUGAGUGAUACAAACCACAACAAAAAGGCAUUUGCUAUCUCACCCUAGGAUAACCUAUUUUUACAUGGUGGAACAUAUUCUCAUAGGAGGAUUUCUGAGAGUACUUGCCCUGCUGACGAAAUCUCUCAUUCCAGCCCUGGCCAUCAAUUCACAGGGAAUGACCUAAUCUGCCACCCCAGUACUCCUCGGCCGACCUGCCUGGCCAUAGUUUACUCAUCCACUUCUGGCUCAUGUUGAGCCAAUCAGAAACCCUGUUCAUAGAAUUUUACGUUCAGACUACAAUUUUAUGUGUAGACACAAUUUUAUGUUUAGACUAUUUUUGUUUGGUCUACAUGGGAACAAUUUCAUCAGGGUGGUAUAGGAAAAAGUUCUGCAGAUCCUGGCUUUUCUUUUCUUUUUUCUUUUCUUUUCUUUUCUUCUUUUCUUCUUUUUUCUGUACUGGAGGCUGAACCCAGGGUCUCACCCAUGCUUCCACUCAGGCAAGCACUCUACCACUGAGCUAUAUCCCUAGCCCUCAACUGUAUCUUCAAAGUACAACUCUUCCUUCAAUUUCUUGAGCUGCUUUAGCCUUUUUAAGCAAAUUUAUUCAAUCCUUUUUUUCUCCCUUGAGGUGGCCCAGGUCGAAAUUAGUUUCUUGGAAAGAAAACAAUUUUACUGCCUUUUAAUUCUUCCAGAUUUUAUUUUUAUUUUUUCUUUUUCAAAUCUUUAUUUAAAAAAUUCCUUUGAGGGCCAGGGAUUUAGCUCAGUGGUUCCAGUGGUUGCCUUGCAAGUGCAAGGACCCGAGUUUGAUCCCUGGUACCAAUUAAAAAAAAAUUCCUUUGUUACAAGUUUAAAUUCAAAGUAAUACAAGAGGAUAUUAAUAAAGAAAAUAUUUUUUAAAAAUAGCCUUUUAUGAAAAAUAAAGCAAAAAUUCAUAAUAAAUAAUUUUAAAAUAACAUUAGUUAAUAUACUGUGUGCCAUAAUCUUAAAAGAAUGGCCAAAAUGUUAGAGUACAAGUCAUAGGCAAAAGAAACUCUUACAAAAAAGAUGCCGGAGAGUUAGCUCAGUGGUUCCGCCACCUGCUUUGCAAGUGCAAGGACCUGAGUUUGAUCUCCGGUACAAAAAAAAAAAAAAAAAAAAAAGGAACAAAUAGACAAUAGCAAUGACCUAAGAGGACCUACCAGUAUAAAUGAAACAAAUUAGCAUAUAUAUUGAAAUAUUUUUGAAACCACAGAAUAUAUAAUUUGGGGAAUUAUUAGAACUUCCAGAUUUUAACUUCUUUUAAUUCUUCUAGAUUUUUCUUUAAGUGUAUGUGCAAAUAUAACACAUAAUGUAAUAAUAUAUGUUAUAGAAUUGUAUUCUAUAAGCUGUUUUGUAAUAUAAG